rnacentral:tRNA from 1 species
GGCCUGCUGGCCCAAUGGCAAGGUUCGAGCCAACGUCAAGCAUUUCCUGAUCAAGCAAUCAGCUUCUAACAUCAAUGCAACAGGCGCUUGACUACGAAUCAAGAGAUUGCAGGUUCGAUCCCUGCGCAGGUCA